AUGCCAUGAUGUGGACACUUGACCAACAUACCUUUGAACUUCUCCCAUGUUUUUUGUAGUGUUUCUGUUGAUCUUUGUCUGAAGCUCAAUAUCUCAUCAACUUGUUU
rfam:Nicotiana sylvestris Nsyl_contig158142, whole genome shotgun sequence.